AGGGAACACAUCUGAGGAGAUCAAUCUGUCAUUAUAAUUAAUGGUUGUCAGCCACUUCUUUCUCUCUAGACUAUCUUCCUCAGUGCCUUCCCAGCUCCACAAGGGACCUUUCCCACACUCUGGCCUUGUGCCUGGCUCAUCUCCAUUGCUACCAGCUGGAGUUCCUGGGAGGAUAUACUCAACCUCAGUCAGGGUGAGGUAUAGAUGUGCUUGUAAUAAAUAUUUAAAGGAUACAUCAAGAACAAAAGCUCAGGAGAGACUUCACCUUCAGCUUUGAUGAAUUCACUCAGUGGAAAACACAAGGAGGAAAACUGAGUUAGAGCAAUGUCCAGUUUGUAUGCAAAGUAGAGCAUGGGACACCAUCAAAGCUGUGCCUCCCAUCAUUUGAUGGGGGAGAGAAAUGGGUCUGUCUGGCCUACUGAGUGGCCAGAGAAAGGAGUCAUGGGCAAAAAGCCUAGCACUAGGGCUUUCUAAUUCCUCAAUUCAUUACAUCGGUGAUCUUGCAUUUUUUUAAGCAACUGUUUUGCAGCAGAGCAAUACAGAUAAUGUAUUUUAAGCACAACUGGUUUCAGUUCUCCCCUGGAUGUACUGAAACCUUCGUAUGUGUGAUUUUGAUAGCAUCUCAUCAGAGCUAUGAAUCCGUCUCGCUCUAGAAAUCAGGAAAAUCAAUUUUGUGGGUGUUAACUGUAAUAAAAAAAAUUCAACUCAUGGUAUUCAAAA